rnacentral:lncRNA from 1 species
GUGUGGUGAUGUCAAAGAUGGCCCUGGAUUUUCCUCAUUUCUCUUCCUUUUGUCAUUGCCUGAAAUUCCACCAAUUACAGAUUUAUUUGGGUUUAAAGUAUCUCAUUUGAAAGCAGGCCCCCUUCCUAACCCUCAUCCCCACCUUCAAGGGUUAAAGCAGUGUUUGCUCAGCAGCCAGUAUUUGGAUAGCACCUGGAAGCCCAUUGUGAUAUGGCUGUACUACUAGAGUACUCCAGUGGACACAGGGACGAGCACAUUCUCCAGAUCCUUAUUAUGGCUCAGUGUGAUCUUCAUAGACAUCAUAUUUGUCCCUCCUUUGACAUUUCUAUUUCCAGUCACUACAGUAACUGUAUACAAAAAAAUAAGUAUAUAUGAGCUUACAUAUAUAAAAACACAUAAACAUUCUCACAAAUGCUUCCUAGGUACGGAAUAAUAAUAAGACUAGUUAGCAACCAAUCUGCAUCUAAACAGAUGUACACUCAGGGUACAUUUGGCUCUCCAGACUUGGGCAAAGCAAAUUCAGUAGCCCUUGGGGACUCCUCUGAAAAAGAUCACAGCUCCUAGAAGAAAAGCAUGGAGAAGUGGGGAGUGGGUGUGCAGAACCUUUAAAAGGCAUCCUGCUCAGGACAGUGUCCACUCUGAAGCCCUACUGCCUGCUGGU